AGCAGCCGCGGUAAUUCCAGCUCCAAUAGCGUAUAUUAAAGUUGCUGCAGUUAAAAAGCUCGUAGUUGAAUUUCGGGACUAAUAUGUCGGUCGUGCCUCGGUACGUACUGGUUUAUUGGUUUCUCCUUUCUGAAGAACCAUGAUGUCAUUUAUUUGGUGUCGUGGGGAAUCAGGACUGUUACUUUGAAAAAAUUAGAGUGUUUAAAGCAGGCUCACGCUUGAAUACAUUAGCAUGGAAUAAUGAAAUAGGACGUUUGAUUCUAUUUUGUUGGUUUCUAGGAUCGACGUAAUGAUUAAUAGGGAUAGUUGGGGGCAUUAGUAUUCAAUUGCCAGAGGUGAAAUUCUUGGAUUUAUUGAAGACUAACUACUGCGAAAGCAUUUGCCAAGGAUGUUUUCAUUAAUCAAGAACGAAAGUUAGGGGAUCGAAGACGAUCAGAUACCGUCGUAGUCUUAACCAUAAACUAUGCCGACUAGGGAUCGGAUGAUGUUAAUUUUUUAAUGACUCAUUCGGCGCCUUACG
rnacentral:rRNA from 1 species